UACGUAGGGGCCAAGCGUUGUCCGGAUUUAUUGGGCGUAAAGAGCUCGUAGGCGGUUUGGUAAGUCUGGUGUGAAAUCUCCACGCUCAACGUGGAGGGGCCACCCGAUACUGCCAUGACUAGAGUCCGGUAGGGGAGUGUGGAAUUCCCGGUGUAGCGGUGAAAUGCGCAGAGAUCGGGAGGAACACCCGUAGCGAAGGCGGCACUCUGGGCCGGUACUGACGCUGAGGAGCGAAAGCGUGGGGAGCGAACAGG
rnacentral:rRNA from 1 species